rnacentral:lncRNA from 1 species
UUGGCACUGACACUUGCUUGGGAUCUUAAUGACGCUCAGAGCAAAGGUGGAUUUUCUUAGAAAAUGUAUGAGAAGAGCUCUCCGAGAAUACUGUGUAAGAACAACUGCUGACAUCUAGUAAGAUUCCUUGUUGGGUAUCACUUUGAGAUAGCUCAACCUCACUUCUGACCCAGGAAUGGCUCCUGAGGAGUGGAGUCCAGGGAAUUACAUCCCAAAACAGGGACGCUUGUUUGCUGAUUACGUCACAUUAAAGUCUGUGAUGUGAAGUAAGGCUGAGUUGCCCUGGAUCCUCUCCACGUAGAUCUUCCCACCGCGGACUCGCUGGGUGUAGAUGGCGUACGGGAAGGAAGAGUCCACCGUGCUAACGAUCUGUACUUCACGCUCAGGAGCAGAGGGCAGGUAAAUGGACCACUGGAAGUUCUGCUCAGAGGGACCCUGGUAGCCACUCACGUUGCACCAGAUGGUGAUGUGGGAGCUCUCUGUGCGGUACAAGGGCCCUUCCUGGACGGUGACCUGUCGCUGCGCUGACACCACACCUAAGGGGAGACAGACACAGCAACGUGCUUACUUUUCUGACUGAAUGCAAA